AUUGAACGCUGACGGCAUGCUUUACACAUGCAAGUCGAACGGCAGCACGAAAGAGCUUGCUCUUUUGGUGGCGAGUGGCGAACGGGUGAGUAAUGCAUCGGAACGUACCGAGUAAUGGGGGAUAACUGUCCGAAAGGAUAGCUAAUACCGCAUACGCUUUGAGAAGGAAAGUGGGGGCUCUUCGGACCUCACGUUAUUCGAGCGGCCGAUGUCUGAUUAGCUAGUUGGUGGGGUAAAGGCCUACCAAGGCGACGAUCAGUAGCGGGUCUGAGAGGAUGAUCCGCCACACUGGGACUGAGACACGGCCCAGACUCCUACGGGAGGCAGCAGUGGGGAAUUUUGGACAAUGGGCGCAAGCCUGAUCCAGCCAUGCCGCGUGUCUGAAGAAGGCCUUCGGGUUGUAAAGGACUUUUGUUAGGGAAGAAAAGGAUAGUGUUAAUACCAUUAUCUGCUGACGGUACCUAAAGAAUAAGCACCGGCCAACUACGUG
rnacentral:rRNA from 1 species